UACGAAGGGUGCAAGCGUUACUCGGAAUUACUGGGCGUAAAGCGUGCGUAGGUGGUUUGUUAAGUCUGUUGUGAAAGCCCCGGGCUCAACCUGGGAAUGGCAAUGGAUACUGGCAGGCUAGAGUGCGGUAGAGGGUAGUGGAAUUCCCGGUGUAGCGGUGAAAUGCGUAGAGAUCGGGAGGAACACCAGUGGCGAAGGCGGCUACCUGGACCAGCACUGACACUGAGGCACGAAAGCGUGGGGAGCAAACAGGA
rnacentral:rRNA from 1 species